GGCUCCAGCCAUUCAAGUGAUUUCCUACAACUUGACUUCAAAACCAACAAACAACAACAGCCACCAGCUCUACCACGUGUUGGCCUGCACAGACCCUGCUGCAGGAGCCCGGCCAGGUUCAGGCACCAGGACCUCCACACCUUUCACCCAGGGUAAUGUGAAAGCAUCUCUUUAUUCCCAGACUGACUCUCAUUUGAAAGCUGAGCCUUUCCUAAAGCUGGCACCAUGUUCUGUAUUGGAACCAGAGAGACAUGAAUUGUGCUGUUGGAAGCCACAGUCAAGGUAUCCUCACAAACCUACAGAGCAUUUCAAAGGGAUGGGGAAGAGGAGGAGUUCUGGCCAGGCUACAGAACAUGUUUUCUUAUAACUGGAGUCCUGACAAGCUGCUUCUCUAGAUGAAGAACUCUGCCACCGGGACAAGGCAAUUGAAAUCAAGGUCAUGAAACCUAAAACCACGUUUCACGGUGACUUUAACUGCGCUAAAAAUAAUGGCCUAUUUAUGCAAUUAUCUGCAUGUA